UCAUGGCGGCCGGCCAGGUGCAGCUGCCUGAGGCGGAUGGCGCAAGGCCUCCCACACGCUCCGACACCAAGAAGAUGACGACUUUCCUUCCCCGGGCCGCCCCGUCGGCUCCCUCUGAAUUCCUCCCUGCGCGCCGCCGCUCCCUCCGUCACCUCUCCUGGGACCCUGGAGGGGCGCAGCAUCCGGGCCUUUCCCCGGCGUGUGCGAGCGUCGCGGCUCCGGCCGGCCGGGCCGGGGCGUGCGUGUUCGGCCGCUCGCGCCCUGGGGUGGCGGAGAGGGGUGCGUCACCGAGGCUGCGAAGGGCAGCGCUUUGUCGCCGAGGGCGAGGAGGCCCCGAGUUUCCUCAUUCUUUCAGCCAGCCUCGCCCGGCUUCCAGGUGCGCUGCAGGAGGGGCCCAACAGCGUGGGGCUACUGCCUGACUCCUGUGAGGGCCUCCAUUCUCCAAGCCCGAGCCCGAGAGGAAGAAGGACGGACGUGGCUUCCAAGGGAAGAGACCCAGGUACAGAAACUGAGGUGCAGAAGGACGUUAACAGCAGUAAUGAGAAUGACCACAGGGAGGCUGGUGCCAUAUUCCUUCAGCAAAAUGGGUAACAGAAUAGCUUAUGAACCUCUCCCUGGCUGACAUGCUGGUGCCACAAACUGAUUGUCAUUUGGAUGAGGAGUGUCAAAACUAAAAAACAGAAUGCCAAGUAUUGUGGGCAACAGGCCAGGGCCCAACAUCAACAGGGACCAGCCUCCUUCUGUUUUGUUGGUUCAUCAUCCUCAAUAUCCAGCUUCCCCUUUGAGGUCCAGGAUGGCUGCUUGAACUCCAGCUAUCAAGUUCUCAUUUCAGCCACCAGGAACUGGGUCUUCUAAAGGCAUGUGCUCUCUGAAGGUAAACUACACCAAAGAACAAGAAGAGGAGACACAAGGAGAAAGAGAAAGAGGGUCUGUGAUCAAGGGAAGCGGGGAACUGCUGUGGUGAGGGCUCCUGGAUGCAGAGUCUGAAGACAGCGCCACUCUUAGCUCUACGAUUAAUCCUGCCUUCUUAUCAGCAGGUGGAGGGCCGUCUGGCAGCUAAUGCAAAGACCUGCGGUGAGUUUCCAGUACAUAGAUUUACUCUGCAGGUUCAAGAUCUGUGGGAUCUAAUUAAAUUUUUGUGGGAUCUAAUUAAAUUCUCAGUAUUUUAAACAUAGCUUCUUAUUUUGAUUUCGCUUAUAACUAGCUAGAGAAUCUUAGAAAAAUUCCUUUACUGUCCUUAGUCUUAGUUUGAUUACCCAUGAAAUGUAACAUUUUUCUGGACUUGCAAUCCCCAAAGUGUGUGUCUGGAUGUCUUGGGGGUGCUGCAAUAAGCUAACAAGGAUGUUGUGGGCUACUUAAAAUUUAAAAUUUAAUUAAAAUUUAAAAUUUUGCAAAGAACAAUGAUACUUAACAUCUUUUAGACACCAGGAAAACAAUAGCUUUAGAGAGUUAACGCGUUAUGUCUUUUCUUUGCAAAGCUGGAUUUUGGGCUACUGCUGUGGUGAAAAGCAAGUACUAUGAAAAUCAGUAAAGAACAAGAAAGGAGGAUGGUUGUAUCCAGUUUGGGUCCAAGGUUUUAGAUGUGCAUUUUUGAACAAGUUUAUGUAUCUUGCAUAUAAUUGUGGUUAAGAAUUAAAUAAAUUAUGUUUUUCUUUUAAUUUAAUUUAUGUGCUUUUAAAAACACCUCCUAAGUUGUUAGUUCAUGAAUACAAGAAUGUUUGUACCUGGGGCCGGCGCUGUGGCGCAGUGGAUUAAUGCCCUGGCCUGAAGCGUCAGCAUCCCAUAUGGGCGCCAGUUCGAGACCCGGCUGCUCCGCUUCCUGUCCAGCUCUCUGCUAUGGCCUGGGAAAGCUGUAGAAGAUGGCUCAAGUCCUUGGGCCCCUGUACCCACAUGAGGGACCAGGAAGAAGCUCCUGGCUCCUGGCUUUGGAUUGCCGUUGCGGCCAUCUGGGGAGUGAACCAUCGGAUGGAAGACCUCUCUCUCUGCCUCUCCUCUCUCUGUGUAACUCUUUCAAAUAAAUAAAUAAAUCUUUAAAAAAAAAAAAAAAAAGAAUGUUUGUACCUAAACACUUAAUGACUGGGAUUGUUAGUCAUUACUUUUGGACUACAGGUUACUGUGAAAAAUGACCUGGGAAGGUUUAAGCAUUUCUGGAUUAGAUAAUCUUUAAGAUAUUCCUAAAUUGCCUGAUUGUACAACAGCUUCCAUUCCCAGAGCCAUUCCUAGAAUAUGGUUGAUAGGCUGAUACCUUGGGACCUGAAUGUUGCAGGAAAGCAAAAGCUAGGGCACGACAGAGGAGUAGCCAGGGCUGCUGUGAACUUCCAAGAAGAAGGAAGCCAGUUUCUAACAACUUUUACACAACAGUGUAUUAGAAGCCUGUCCCUCUUUGACCCCAAGUUGGAUCACCUUAGGGGAGUCCGGGCCCCAAAGAUUUUCAAACGUAGAGUCAAGUUACUAGCUGUCAAUGAUAUCCAUCUCUUGCUAAAGUUACUGCCUUACUGGGUCAGGAGAUAGAUUCUCAGCCAAGGGACUGAGCAGAGAUUUGUUCCUGGCAAGCUCAAGUGAAAGUUGGAAUACAUUUUCAUAUGAUAUUAUGAAUAUUUUAUAUAGUUUAACUGGUCCAAUUUUUAGCAUCUGUCAAAUAUGCAAGGAUAUAUGAGUGUUUGUGACAUUCAGAUUUUUUGGCUUCCUGUGGGAAAAAUACCCAAGUGACUGACCAACGUUUUUUCUUGGAAAUGCGUGGUAAACAAACUCAUUGCAUUGUCAGAGCUUUCUUAUAGCACCUUUCCCAAAUUCUAUUAACUGUAUGAAAGAAGGCAAGUUCCUCAGAGCAAGCAAUCAACCAAAACUCUGGGAAAAUCAAACACGCUUUAAUGUUCAGAUAUGCUGACUGAUUAGAAAAAGAAACUGUAUUUAUAUCAAGAAAGUUUUGGUUGGUUUGAUGAAAAUAAUAAUGAGUUGCUAAGUUGCUGCAAGUUCAAGAAGCAUUCCUUUGAACUGGUUUCUCAAUCAUGCAGGAACCCAUCCUGAGUAUAGAGACUGCCUUCUUGUAUACAGCAGUUUAAUUGGAGAAGAAAUAAGAAAAGUAGGUGUCUUUUCUCCAGAUCAUUCAUAUAAUGCCCAGGAGAUUCAGCAAUCCUAAGUAGACACAAAUGCACAACAAAUACUUUAUAAAGAAGUUUUUUUUAAUAGGGAGAACUUAGUUUUUUUUUUUUAAUUAGAUUUUUAUUUAUUUAUUUGAAAGGCCAGGUUACAGAGAGAGCUCUUCCGUCUGCUGGUUUACUCCCCAAAUGGUCACAACCUUUAGGUCUGGGCCGGGCGGAAGCCAAGAUCCAGGAGCUUUUUCUGGGUCUCUCGUGUGGGUGCAGGGCCCCAAACUUGGGCCAUCUUUUGCUGCUUUCCCAGGCCAUUAGUGGGGAGCUGGGUUAGAAGUGGAACAGCUGGGACAUGAAUCAGCACCCAUAUGGGAUCCUGGCAUCUCAGGCAAUGGGUUAACCUGCUACAUCACAAUGCUGGCCUCAAGGCAAAUACUUUUGAUGUAACCAUCCUGCUGUUUCUGAUUCUGGGUUUGAAUUUUGAGUGUUAUAAGCAUCUAUUUUAAAUAUACACAAGUGGCAUUUAGAUUAUGACCCCUAGGAUUUUUAUUUACAAUUGUUUUCCUAGGUGAUUGUAUUUCUUUUGAUAUUUACAUUAAAGCUAGUAUUUUCUUACACUAAGGAGAAUGAUAUGAAAGUUUAAUAAUUAGAUCUGCAGGUAUCUUGUUAUACAUUUAAAAUGUUUAUAUGUCCCCUUUGUGCUGUUCUCUUUACAUACUGCAAUCUCUGUCAUUUACUUUGCUGUGCCUAGUUUUGUCUUCUGCAAAGUGCUAAAAAUGACAUUGGCUGAAAAUAGUACAUCUCCCAUACACCAUGUCUCAAAAUUUCACAUUCUUAGGACUCGAGGGUUCAAUAUGAAGCCAGAUGGCAAUAUAUUUUACUCCCUGGAUGCAGGCUUCCUGAACCCUUUUCUUUCAAGUAUUUUCCUCCUGGAAAUGUCUUGCUUAGAUUUAGAGCGAGAUCUAAAUUGCUACUGGGAAUAUAAAGGCUUUGUGUGCUGUGAUAGGAUUAGAGGAGGUAAAGUGUGUGACCAGGAGAACAAUCCUGAGUAUGCGCUGCAUACUGUCUUGCCACAUUCACUUGGAUGCCGUUAUUUACAAGUCUGAGUUUUUCAACAUUGCAGAAGAAAUGGUGUAGUCAGCAAUUUGCAUGAGUAAACGUUUCUGGUGUUGCUGUCUCUGCCUCCACCUGCUUGCCCCUUGUGUCUCUAACUGCCUGCCUCUACUGACUUUAAUAACGUUAACAAUUAAUGUUUCUGUUGGACAUCUGUGGAUGCCAAAAGCCAAAAAUUCCCCAAACACAUCAUAAACUAGAAACCGUUGUCUGAGGUUAUUGGGUCCUGGAAAGAGAGUGGUGGAGUAAUGAUUACCUUAAUCCUGGGGUGCUGCAGAACCCCCAAAAAUGUAGGCCUUAUUUUCAACAAAGCAAUAGCAUGCAUGAAGAAAUUAUUAUAAAUAUCACCCAAGGAGGCUUUCCCUAAAGGAAAGCUUAGUGAAGUGUACUAAGGCUAAAAUGGUGUUUAAAAAGCAGCUAAUUUGGGGCUAGCAUUGUGGUGUAGCAGGUUAUGCUGGCAACCGGCAAUGCCAGAAUUCCGUAUGGGUGCCAUUUCCUGUCUUGGUGGCUCCAUUUCUGAUCCAGCUCCCUAUUAAUGGCCUGGGAAAGCAUUGGAAGAUGGCCCAAAUGCUUGGGCCCCCGCCACCCACGUGGGAGACCUGGAUGAAGCUCCUGGCUUCUGGCUUUGGCCUGGCCCAGUCCUGGCUUUGCAGCCAUUUGGGGAGAGAAUCAGUGGAUGGAAGAUCUGUCUCUCCUUCUCUUUCUGUGACUCUUUCAAAUACAUAAGUAAAUCUUUAAAAAAAAAUUUUUUUUUAAAAGAAUGCAGCUCAUUCACUACAAAGAUUUUGAAUUGGAUUCUGCUAGUAUCAGUAAGAACUUCAUUACAAAUCCCAGGAGCCCCGGAUGUAAAAACUUCCACUAUUUGGGGAUUGAUCAAGAUUACACCAUCAGAUUCGCCCUCUUUUUGCUGUGUGAGUUUGUUCAAUGCUUUGCUUUCUUGGCUCACUCUCUGGGGUCUGCCUGUUUUUCCUCAUUCUCCACUGUGUCUUUAGACAGUGCUGUCUCUGGCAGCAGGCUGGGUAAAUCAUCAACUGCAUGCUGAUGAGCUGGUCUGUCUUCUUCUGCCAGAUGAAAUCAGGACAGCUUUGAGGUUGAGAAAAGGAGAGGGUGGUCUGUGCGGUGACCUCCCACCUUCCGUUCCUUUUCAUUCAUCUGCAACUUUUUCCAUUCCAGUCUCCUCUUUGUGUCCCUAGUUUAGGACACUUUCUUUUCUUCUUUUCUGCCAGGAACAUACCUGUCCCAUUGUCCUGUCAACUUAUUUUCUUGCUUUUUACUGAUCUUGCUUUGUGUUCUUUAAAAAAAAAAAACACUGUAAGUCACAACCUUAUGAAAAUGUUAAGGGAGUUCCAAUGUAAGGUAGAAAGUCUAUUCGUUCAUGUUCUGAAGCAAGAACCGAUAUUUACCAAUUCAAUUUUCAUCUAAGAUCGUAAAACACAAGAAAAAGAAGACUUAUGUGGUAGCAUUUCCCAAAGUUGUUUUGAGAAGCAUAUUCUAAAACUUUUUUUUAAAGAUUUAUUUAUUUAUUUGAAAGGCAGAGUUAGAGAGAGGCAGAGGCAGAGAGAGAGAGAAAGAGAGAGAGAGAGAGGUCUACCAUCGCUGGUUCACUCUCCAGAUGGCUGCAACAGCCAAAGCUGGGCCAUCUUGUACUUCUUUCCCAGGCCGUAGCAGAGAGCUGGAUUGGAAGUGGAGCUGCUAGGACUUAACCCAGUGUCCACAUGGGAUGCCGGCACAGCAGGCAGCAGCUUCACCAGCUACGCCACAGCGCUGGCCCCUCUAAAACUUCCACUGUGCUGUGUGCACUGUAGAGGAGGAUAGCAUGUGCUUCCUUGUCUCCAGAGGAUUUUCAACAGAGGACUGUCUUCCAGGAACACGUGCUUGGAAAUGUCAUGUUCCAUUUUCCUAGAGCUGAUAGUUCAGCUUUAUAUAUAAUUUGAUAACUAGUCAUAAUUUCAAAGAACCACAUACUUCACAUCUUUUUCAUAUUGAUCUUUGUGAGGUGGGUGUUUAGCCUAGUAAUUUAGGUGCUUGUUGGGAUCCCAUAUCCUAUAUUAGGGUACUUUGGUUCAAGUCUUGGCUCUGCUCCCAAUUCUAGCUUCCCGCUAAUGUGCACACUGGGAGGUAGCAGGUGAUGGCUCACGUAGUAGAGUCUGGCACCCACAUGGGAGACCUGCACUGAAUUACUGGCUCCCAGCUUUGGCCUAGCCAAGCCUCAUCCAUUGUAGGCAUUUAGGGAGUGAACAAGGGAACAAGAGCUUGGCCUUUUUUUGUCUAUCUCUUG